rnacentral:rRNA from 1 species
UACGUAGGGACCAAGCGUUGUUCGGAUUUACUGGGCGUAAAGGGCGCGUAGGCGGCUUAACAAGUCACUUGUGAAAUCUCCGGGCUUAACUCGGAACGGCCAAGUGAUACUGCAGUACUAGAGUGUGGAAGGGGCAACUGGAAUUCUCGGUGUAGCGGUGAAAUGCGUAGAUAUCGAGAGGAACACCUGCGGCGAAGGCGGGUUGCUGGGCUGACACUGACGCUGAAGCGCGAAAGCCAGGGGAGCGAACGGG